AAAAACGACUCUCGGCAACGGAUAUCUCGGCUCUUGCAUCGAUGAAGAACGUAGCGAAAUGCGAUACUUGGUGUGAAUUGCAGAAUCCCGUGAACCAUCGAGUCUUUGAACGCAAGUUGCGCCCAAAGCCAAAUUCGUUUGGUUGAGGGCACGCCUGCCUGGGUGUCGUG
rnacentral:rRNA from 1 species